rnacentral:rRNA from 1 species
UACAGAGGGUGCGAGCGUUAAUCGGAAUUACUGGGCGUAAAGCGUGCGCAGGCGGUUCGUUGUGUCGGCGGGGAAAGCCCCGGGCUCAACCUGGGAAUGGCCGUUGAAACUGGCGAACUGGAGUGUGGCAGAGGGGGGUGGAAUUCCGCGUGUAGCAGUGAAAUGCGUAGAGAUGUGGAGGAAUACCAAUGGCGAAGGCAGCCCCCUGGGAUAAUAUUGACGCUCAUGCACGAAAGCGUGGGGAGCAAACAGG